AGCGGUGAUCGCGGUCGCUGGUGCUCAGGGUCGCUCUAAAUAUAGCGGUAGCCCUGCUGUUCGACGCUCGCAUAAUUCGACCCAUAGGUAAUUGUAAACAUUUUAUAUGGUUGUAAUCAGCAAUUAGUGUGAAGUUUGGUGAUGAAAAAAAAACCAAAAGACAAUAAAACAAUUGGUAUUAUUGAAUUAUUUUGUUUUAAAAACCAGAAAAUGCUUUGGUUUUUAAUUCUACAUCUGAAAUUGUGAUCGGCAUAUGAACUUCAUUUAUGCACAUAUUUUAAUAAGAAGACGUGCAUUUUAACUAAUAUAUUAAAUUAUAUAACUAGUGCAGCUCCUUUAGCAAAAAUAUCAACAGAAACUUACUAAUAAUUACUCAUUUUACAUGCAAGAAUCAUCGAGAUCGGCAUCCCACCAAUGUCGUCUUGUACUCGAGCGAUCGAGUCUCGACUGAUUUAUAUCAUUAUGAUUAUGAUAACAAUACCUUGAAAGUAAGAUAGUGGUUUAAAAAGAAAAAAAUUAUGGUUGGCUUCCUUUCACUCCAGAUCAUUGUCAAAACAAGAAGUAAGUGAACUAUCAUAUAAUAAUUGAUAUAUAAACAAGUUAAUGAUUUUUCCUUUCUUAUUAUCUGAUAAUGAACAUUUAAUAAUGAACUGAAGGUGCUAAAUGUGGCAAAACAAACAUCAAUAAUGAUGACAUGUAUUACCUUGUACCUCCUAUCCACUGUAAGAAAUGUCUGGUGUCUGAACAACAGCUUUAGUGAGCAUUUGGGUACCACCUGUUAUUAUUAUCUUAAAAGUAUAUAUGGGGUCUCAUUUGCUAAGUCAUUUUUGUGACUUUUCUACAUAUUUUGUGACUUUCUGUCCAGUGACGUUUAUCCUGUGACUUUUUGUCCGUAUACCAACCAUGAAUCCUAUUUUGACUAAUUUCGUGAAACUGAAACGUGUCCUUUGUAAGCAAUUAUAGUUGGGGCAUAAAUGAACAGAUAUACGUUGACCUUGAAAAUAAAUAAAUAGAUAUUAGGUAAAUAAAGACGAAAAAAGCCGCCAGACGUUAGUUUUGUUGUCUUAUGGUUUUUAUUGGGAAUAAGAAGGAUGGCACGAUCCCUUAUGCCUGCUGGUUCCUAUACACGAUCCUGCUAUAUGUACAUGUAUAUAGAGUCUAGUUGGUUAAAUUUUAACACAAAAAGAAUUAUCUCGUAAUAGGAAAGUCUUCCACUUUUGUACAAAAACACCCAAAGUAAACCUCCAAGUUGUAUACAGUAGAUGUGUGGUUGUUCGCAUAUCGGAGAUAAUUUGAAUUCAGAUAAUCAGAAAAUAUAUUUGAAAUAAAAGAGGGUGAGAGAAGAAACAUACUAUGCAAAAUAGAUAAAUAAAUAAUAAAACAAUGUUGAAUAUGUGCCUACGUAUUGUUUGUAAAUUGGGCGAGUGGUAUUUGUACUUAUGAUUACGAAGGUUGGUCACGGUAGAAUAACCUGGUGUUAUUUUAUUUACAGGUAAUUGUUUACACCUGCACGUUAAUCCAAGUUUAAGGCGUCUAGCUGUGCCUUGUUCACACCUGUUGUCAUGUGAUUAAAAUAUAAAAGAUGACUUAGGAAUUGUUAUGGAGAUAACACUAUUGUAAAUAUGCUUUGAAUAAACAGCCAUUGUUUUCAA